rnacentral:rRNA from 1 species
AUUGAACGCUGGCGGCAGGCCUAACACAUGCAAGUCGCACGAGUGGCGGACGGGUGAGUAAUGUCUGGGAAACUGCCUGAUGGAGGGGGAUAACUACUGGCAACGGUAGCUAAUACCGCAUACCAUCAGAUGUGCCCAGAUGGGAUUAGCUAGUUGGUGGGGUAACGGUGCACCAAGGCGCCGCUCCCUAGCUGGUCUGAGAGGAUGACCAGCCACAUUGGAACGGAGACACGGUCCAGACUCCUACGGGAGGCAGCAGUGGGGAAUAUGGCACAAGGGGCGCAAGCCUGAUGCAGCCAUGCCGCGUGUAUGAAGAAGGCCGUCGGGUUGUAAAGUACUUUCAGCGGGGAGGCGUUACCCGCAGAAGAAGUACCGGCUAACUCCGUGCCAGCCGCCGCGGUAAUAC